UGAAGGGCCCGUACGGGCGGGCGCGGAGCCUUGGCCCGGCCUCUCCGUCGCUUGUGCCGCGGGCCUGGUUUAUUGUCCUUAUUCCCCUCAUCGAUGCCUUUUCCCCCCGUUCUCCCCCGCUCUCCUCCAGGCUCACUGGAAGGCCCGGAAGUGCCGCCCCCGGGAGCCGCCAGCGCCAGUUUCUAUGAGCGUGGCAGAACACUGAAAGAGGCUGCCCGGGGAGGGCGUGGAGACAUUCCAAACCCACCUGGACGUGUUCCUGUGUCACCUGCUCUGGGUGAGCCUGCCUUGGCAGGGGGUUGGACUGGAUCUUUCCAGAGGUCCCUUCCAACGUUAACAGUUCUGUGAUUUAUUUCAGGAGUGAAAACUCAGCAUGAUGGUCAAGGUCGGGAUAAUCCUGGUUUAGUGAUGUGUCCCCACUCGUUGGUGCUCCUCUCAAUCUGUACUGCUUUGCACAGGGAGUUUUCUGACUGAAGUGCUUAACUGGCAGGGAAAAAUUCAAAAUGUAAACAGGAACGAUGCUCAGUAGCAGCAGUGGGGAAAUGGAAUCAGUCACAGAAAAUCAGUUUGUCCCUUUAAAUGCAAUAAUUCAAAUAAUAUUUAAGAAAUGGGACAUCUUCAAACAUCCCCAGCUGCUAGGGGCCUCACCAAACAGUUAUUUGCUGCUGUGGCUUCUGUUGUCAAAUAUGACCAGUUCUGUUCACAUCAUCACUCAGGUGUUCAAUAGUCUGAACUCCCAAGAAGUUCUUUGCAGUGGUGGUUCAAACUUGCUGCAGUCAACAUGCAAUAAUGGGCUAAUGAGGGUUUUUUUUGCCCUAUGAUAGUUAGAUUCAUGAAGAGGGACUUAGUGAAUAGCUGUAUUGUGAUAUUUUUAAUAGAAAAUUGCUGACCGUGAUUUUUUUUUAACUGAGUUUUUUUCUAAGUUGUACUCUGUGUAUCUUAUGUGCAACCUCAAUUCACACAGGUCAUGCUAGGAAAUGAUUUUGCAUACUAAUACAGGAGAUUUAGUAUUUCCGUAGUCGAAAGGAAGUUUAGAUAAAACAUGAGUUCACUUGCUUUGUUUUCCUACUGCAAUGAGCUGUAUCCUCACUUCACUUUCCUUUUGAUAAAUGUCUUCUCUAUUUUCCUCUCUUUUUGUAGUGGAAAACAUCAGUUCAUUUGCAAAUAUUUGAAAGGCUCCCAGGACUUAGGGCAGUUUGAUUAUAGUGCCAAUUAACAACAUAACAGCAAUCUUGAAUUAUUGUUGUGCAGUAACUUUGUUGCUGAAUUUGUGUAAUUGUUAUCAUGUGUAAACUUUUUGCAGAAAAAGCCUACUUGCUCUUAGCAUGUCCUAAAAUAUACAAAUCUAGUGAAUAAAUAUGCAGUUGUGUAUCUCAUAUACAUAUAUAUAUUCAUAUAUACACACAUUUAUGUUUGAAGCAGGACCAGAUAACCAAACUGAUGCUUUCUUUUGAGACGGGCACUGAGGCCUUUGAAAUGUUUGAAGUUGAGGUGUAUAUUUAUUUAUUUAUUUAUAAGUAUCUGCCUUUAUUCUGUGUACUGAGAGGAGUACUCAAAGAAGAGUAGAAAAUGUGACCAUUUUGGUGAAGUUCUCAGGCCUCCCUGAGGUUUCCAGCAGCAAUGUGCAGUGCUGUGGCACAUGCACCACCUGGAUGCGGAAAGUUUAGUACUAUUGCUGUGAAAUCCAGUGUGUGUAGGGAGAGAUGCCAGGAUUUGUGUUCCUUUGGCUCUCUGUUCAUAGCAGAAACCAUUAAUUGUGCUCAGACUUUACUUUUCCUCGGGACAUGGGCUUCACUUUGUGCUUGAGUGGGCAGUGGUGACUUCCCCUUUCUCUCAGGCCACAGUUAAUAUGGUUAGAAAAAUAAAUUGAAACCAAACACACUAAUUGAAAAUGUAGCACAACUUUAAUAUAUUGUAAUAAUUACUUAAAGCCAGAAUAGUCUGUAUUAAUUAAAUGCAAAUGGGGUAGAGAUUUUGGAAAAAACCCCUGCAUUUCCAGUUGAGGCAGUAGAUAAAGACAUCAUUGGUAGCAAUCAGUGCUGUUAAUGUUGUGUAAAAAAUGCAAAAAAAAUACCAUUAUGGACACAUAUCCCUGUCUGUGUGUGUGUGGACUGUGGUGCUGCCCAAGAGCACAUCUGUGCAUUUAUAUGUGCUGGGGCUGCUUUUUCUCCUUGGUACAAUUUCCCAGUUCAGAGCAGCUUUCUGGUGUGACUUACUGUAGCUGCAGUGUAUUGCUGCUCACUGGGCUGGCAGGUCCCAAAAGAGGUAUUAAGUGUUUCAGUUUUGGGUCUGAGCAGGAGAAAAAGGUGCCUGGGCUUGAGCUGGGAGGUGUUACUUUCAGAUUAGCACAUGUUUAGAUAAGACAAAGGAAGGUACAAUCCAAAACUGAAUAUGGAAGAGGAAACAUUUUUAGUUUCUGCUGAAACUUUUGUGUCUGUUAGCAUCUGAUUUUCCUGAGCCUGUUUUGGGAAGAAGGGCUGAGAUGUGUCUGUGGCAUGUGAUGACAGGCAGUGCAGGGGUAUGGGAGUGGAGUGAGGGGAAGCAGUAUCAGGAAUGAUUAAGUUUAUAUUAAUUGUGCCACUCCCAUUCUUCCUGUUGCACACUCCAGUCACACAAGAACCUCUGGAAUGAGCAUAUUGGAGGCAGGAACCUACAUCACUCAGUUGGGAUGCUUGGCACGGCUGGAGAGGUUGCAGAAGUUCACUCAGCAGAAGCUCCUGGGAUUCAGGAAGUGUGGCUUCAGUGCAGGGAGUGCUGCUGGAAGCCUGGGGUAAAACUGUGAGGAAUUGGUGCUGGAGCUGUUCUGUAAAUCCCAGAGCACCAUCAUGUGGUGGGAGCUGUGCAGGCCGGAGCUGCAGCCUCAGGAUCAGGCUUGGGAGCUGGGGGUGCUGAGAUUGUCCAGCUCCACAGUUGCAGUCAGUUGCAGUUGCACUGCUCUGGGCUUUUAAACACGUGCUGGCAGGAAAAGCAGUCCUUGGGAACCUGGCUUUUUUUAACAGGGAAAGUAGAUGACCCAGGGAUUGUUUCAAGCUUGUCUCUCACAGUGUGUUAUACUGAAAGAGUGAAUGUGCAGGUGCAUGACCCUGAGCUCCUGUGCUGCACUGGCUAUGACAUCAGCAGCACGAUGACUUCUGCAGCUCUGGAUUCACUGGGGGUGAGAACACACCAGCUCAGCAGAGGCUGUGCCAGCAGGAUAAUUUGUCAGGCUUCCCUGCUGUGAGUGCCAGAACCUGCUGAUGCAUGGUGUGAGAGAAGCAGCACACAGCAGGCCCCCAAGGGCACCUGCAAGAUCUCACCUGUCCAAGAACAUGGCAGUGUAGGUCAUGCAGCUUGGAAAGACUGCUAGAAAUAAUCCACGAGUUGAAACUGCCCCAAAAUGCAGGAUUAGUGUAAAGCAGAAUACUAAAAAUGCAAGUUGUUUUAUACAUGUCAGGUUGGUUAGGCUUGCAACUAAGCUUUGUCUAAAGGUGGAGAAAUGAAACAUCAAUUUCUAGGCUUAUUAUAAUCCUUGUGUGUUUCAGGCUUAAUUUUAAGAAGAACUGCAGAAGCAUUGCCUUAUAUUUUGUAAAAUUUAAACAGGUGUAUAAAACCUAUCCAGGUUUUAAAAGUGCUUGGAACAUUUUUAGUACAUCACAGAACCAUCAGCUUCUGACACUGAACAUGGGACUUCAUUAACUUCCUGUCCAACUGAAGGUGCAGAGUUGGUGCUGUGUAGGUCAGCUGCCUGACCAGGCUGCUUCUCCCCUUAAGGAAUGGGAAUUCACAGGGAUUCUGCUUAGCUGCUGAAGGCUGGGAUGCAGGAGCAGGGAACUGAAAGCAGUAUCAGUUUCCCUGCUGAAUGUCAGCUCUGCCAGAGCUGAUUGAAAAAGGAUGUGAUGGGGACCAGUGCUCUGUCAAGGUUUGACUCUGGCCCAGAGCUGUUGUUCUGAUUUAUUUCUGCUUUGGGCAUUGGGACCAAAUACUCAGGUCCACACUGAAGUUUAUUUUCUGGUCCAUGUGUAAGUUAGCAAAAGCAAACAGUGGGAUUUAUACAAGUUACAAGUGAGAUUUUAAGGUUGAAUCACCCAAAUUGGUCUUCACUGUUUGCAUAAAGGAUUCUGUAGUAAGGCACUGAGGGGGCUGGAAAGUAAUUUGAUUUUGUGUCUGUCCAAGGAAUAACGUCAUCCCUUUGUGUGAGUGCACGGGAUCAUGCGCUGUGUGCUUGGCAAGGACACCGGCGGGCAUGAGGGUGCUCUUGUUCUGUGCAGGCUUUGUUUGGAGAGUGGGCUGAAAACAGCAGGCUACAACUGGGAUCAAGUACUAGUAAAAUGUUCUUAAUGUUUUUAAAAACUGCUUUUCUCUAAACAUUUUCAGCUAUUGUAUAAACUACCAGGACAAACAAUCAUUUUCCUUUCCAGCCCUGUUCUCGAGCUGUCUUUGCUACGAAUGGAAUUCUGAGUCACACAUCUGUCUGGCAAGUGUUUUCAUUUCAGUAUUCAAAGAUGAUGUUGAGCUGUGUUAAUGUGGAGAUUGGCUUUAAAGUUACAUCAGGGGCAGUUAGAGAAACUCAAGACUUCUUUCUGAUGGGAAAACUUUUUUCAGUGGCCUUUUAGUAAGGCAGUUUAAUAGCUAAAUGUCAGGGUAGAAGCCGCAAUCUUACUGAGUUUUGUUUCUAAUAAAAGAAUUGCUGUGCACAAGGCUUAAUGUAAUUUAAGACUAGCAGAAAAAGCUCUAAUCAAUACUUUGGACAGUGCAUGGUUUCUGUUUUUUUAACUAUUGUCACAAUAGGUGGAAAGGUCACUCUAUGUAAUAGUACUUACUUAAUCAGAAUGACAAAUAUUAGGACCUCAUCCUCAUCUGUAUAAAUCAGUCACAUAGCUGUGGUCCUAGAUUGCAUUAGUUUUAAAUUCCAAGGAUGAAGAAAUAUAUAUCUGCCUACAGUGUCACUGACAGCCUUUUCUUCUGAUUUCAGGUGAGAAGUGACACCUGUGGAACAUGACUGGUAAUUCAACAGAAGUUUAAUGACUGUAGUUGCUAUGACUGUUAUGACAUGCUCACUUAAGACCCAAGAAAUUGGUAAAGUUAUGAAAUUAAGAAACCCUAUUUUUAAAAUAACUUCCUUCUGUAACUAGGGGGAGCAAGGGGAAGGCUCUUUCUAUGAUGAGUAUUAUAAAUGCUGUCUGCAGCUAGCCUGACUUGUCUUGACUGAAGCAGCAAUCCUGUCCCAGCUCUGAAGAUGCCUGCACUGUGGGAUGAGGUAGUAGGUUGUAUAGUUUUAGGGUCAUACCCACCACUGGGAGAUAACUAUACAAUCUACUGUCUUUCCUAAAGUAGCAGAUAAUCAACAAUGGAAGCUUCUCAGUUUUAAGCUCAAUGUCAGAUUUUGCUGAACUUCUGUACUUGUAGCGCUUAUGACAGGACAAAAUACUUGUGUAAUAGCCGUGGGAAUUGUGUUUAGAUUUUUCUGGUUCUUGGAAAAGCUAAGUUUCAUUCUGCAUUAAUUUUUCUGCUCUAAUGAAUAAAAAAUUAAGAAUAGAUUAUUCCUGUAUGUGUAUGGUGGGGUAAUCAAAUACAAAUUCCCAGUGUUCCAGUUGUUGGGGUGUUGUAUAAAGCAUCCUUCAGAAUGAAACUGAGGUUGGCUGAGCUCUUGCUGACGUCUGUGCUUCUCUGUCAGAGUGAGGUAGUAGAUUGUAUAGUUGUAGGGUAGUUAUUUUACCCUGUUCAGGAGAUAACUAUACAAUCUAUUGCCUUCCCUGAGGAGUAAAACAAACUGCGUUCCCUUGCAGCCAGUCCUGGGCUAAAAAUCCUCAUUGAAUGAAACCAGAUUAAUUCAGGGUUGUAAGGCAGCAGUGCCAGAAUGUACAGGACUGACAGUGUGCAUGGUGCAAACCCCACAGGAUAUCUUUGACUUAACAUGACUUUUCUCCCAAGGUGAGUGGCACAGUGCUGGCUGGGAAUGGAAAAUGCCCACGCUUUAGGCAAAGGGUGGAAGGUUCCACAGAGGGAAGCUGUUCCAAGCCAGUUAGGAGAACAUAAAAUACAGGGAGCUCAAGUACAUUGCCACUUAAACUCUUCUGACAAUCCAAUUUCCUUAAUACAUUAAAACUCCAUGACUCUUAACUGCUUGGUAGAAGUUGGAGGGAAAACUUAAAAUGAUCCUUUAUUAAUAAGUCUGCGUGUUUUUCUGCAGCUUUUCCAGAUCUAAUGCAAAAUUUAAGUGUUGGCUGAUUUUGGCCAAAACUCGCCUCUCACCUUUUUAGGGGGAUGUGGAGCUAUGGAGUUUGAGCAUGCAAGAACCAGAACUUUGUUCUGAGAUGGUGUUUGUUCUAUAAAGACUUUUAAAGUUUAUUGCAUUCACUUUCCUCCUGCUGUGCUUGGUGUACCAGUCUGUAACUGGUUCUGUGCUAGCAUGCCCAGCAAACAGCUUGCUGUAGUAACAAAAAACCCACGGAAACAAAUGCUUUUUGGGAUGGUAAGUUUAGCAUGGCAAGAAUAAUAAUGGAGCCAUUGGUGAGUGUUCCAGGCAGUGAGGCACUGUUGGUUAUUGCUGACAGUGUCACCUUGGAGUGUGUGCCCAGCCAGGGCAGAAGAGAGAGCAGCUGGGGAGCUAAAGUCCUGCAGAGAGUGAAGAACUGCACAGAGGAAGCAUGGGGCUCCUAGGAAGAGGUAGUAGGUUGCAUAGUUUUAGGGCAGGGAUUUUGCUCACAAGGAGAUAACUAUACAACCUGCUGCCUUUCUUAGGGCUUUAUUAUAACACCAUGACCAUUUGGGCUCCAGCCUGCAAACCUCUGCAGCUUUGGGAUGUGGAGAGAAAGGACAAGGUAUUUAUAAGUGUGCUGACGCUUAAUGAAAGCCAUGUCUUGGCAGAUUUGGUCCCAAAUGGAAGUGUUGGAAUGCAGCAUGGUGACAUUGGGGCUGCAUGUGCCACUUUGGGGACACUGGGCUGUGGUAAGUAAGAAGCUGGGCUGGGAAGGCAGCUCCCUCCAGAGUAAGCUGGAGGCCCCUAAGGUUAGGGGUGGAGGUGGUGUGAACUUUUGAACAUCACAGUACUGGUACUGUGUGCUCACAGGGACCUGAAAUACACCUUCCUUUGGCUUGGUGCUUUCUCACCAGGCAUGGGCAUUCCAAAGGAAGUAAGCUCUCAGUGGUGCAUUAUUUACAAUCCUGCAGGAGGGAAGUUUCCAGUUUAAAAGAGUGGUGUGGUUUCUCAUGGAGUUGUUAAAAAUGAGUCAUGUUUUGAUGUAAUUGCACUGCACCACAGCAAUAGUUCUGGUAGGGCUCUGACUGGACACUCUUUCUGUGGGAUACAGACAUCUCAAUUCUGAGCACUUUGCAGCAUUAAUUUGCUGUGCUCACACCAGACACUAUUUAAACUGCAAAUCAGACACAGUCCCAACUUACAAGCAUGUUAAGUAUUGCUUAUAUUGAACAUUUUGUGUGAAUUAACUGUACCUUUUUGAUUUAGUUAAUAAAAUACAGCAUUUUGUGCAA